UGUAAUCAGCGGGGCUACAUCAAAAAUUACCCUAAUUAUGCCUGCAUUUAUGAGAAUGGAGGGGUGGAAAAAAGAGAAAAAAAGACUCACUUGGAUAAAAACCCACAAAUUGUCCCAAAUAUCUCCUUCAUAUUGAACGCCGCUGCAGCUGGCUGCUUUGUUCAAGCAUCGAUCCCUGUGGAGCUUGGCAUUUUAGGACGGAGGGAAGGGAGAAAACAUUUUGUCAAUACUUCUAAUAAUUGAGGGUGAAGCGACGAGAUGAGCUGGACCUGGAGCAAAUGUCUUUCGGGGCUCUUCUUGGCUUUUUAAUCACGUUCUCCCCCAACACUGCAUCUGCGUCCAGCCUCCGGUCUCCAUCCUGUUCCCUCUUCUCUACUCCAUCUCCCUCUUCAUACCCACUCCACCCCUUCUCUCUGACCCCCCCCCCCCAUCAACUCUAACCCCCCCAUACCUCUCUCCAUUUUUUUCCUUCAUUCUCUCACCCCUUUCUCACCCCCAAUAGGUACGCCUCCAUCCACUCUUGGCAGCCACAUCUCUUCCUCGCUGGCCCUCUCCUCCUCCUGCCUGGCUCUCCCACCCCUCUCCCUGGUUGGUUUCCACAGCUGUGGUGAGUGAGGGGCAGAUGACCGGAGAAUUGGCCCCUGGGAGAGCGCUGAGCCAUCCUGGUGCUAUUAGGCUCGUGGCUAAUAAUAGGUGUUUCAGAACAGGGGAAGAUCAAUCAGGGGGAAUCAUGGGGAAUGUUCAGAGCAGCGCUUUUUACACAUCGGCCCAGAUGGAUGAAAUUACACUUGUCAGUUUUUAGUUGCAUUACUCCCAAAUUGGUUGUCUACUCUUUUUUAUCCCCCCCCCCUCCCCUCCCCUCCCUCUUCUCUCCUUUCUUUCUCUUUGCCCCCCAUUCAUGUGUCAGUGGCCUGCUAAAAGGAUUCGCCGGUGAAAUCCCUGUCAUUUUUGUCUUUUGCCUGUUUAGCCCUCAGCCUGCAACAACUCCAUCUCCUAGCAUGUAUGCACUUAGAAAACAUCAACUCACGUCUUAGGGGCUCGGCCAAUUUCCAUGUUAAAGCCAAGUCUGCCGUUGACAUUCUGUGUGCGUUCUGCAUGCAUAAUAAAGCCAUUUGAUUUUGUCACUGUCAAAAAUUCAGAGGGAGAUCAAAGAAAGUAGUGGAUGAAGAGAAAAAUGUAUUUGCACCAAUGUCAAUAGUUUGCUACACAAGAAUUGCUUCACAUAUUGAAAAAGUGUUGAUUCAGAUCAAGGUAAGCACUUAUGCUGAUGAUGGACUUUAAUUUAAGGUACAAAAAAGUGUUAAACCAAUUGUAAUGAUAUAUUUAAGCGAUCAUGAAAAAAUACAUAUAUAUAUUUGCAGACAUUUUUAAAAUAAUAUAUAUAUAAUCAUCUAAUGCAAUACUAUAUUUAAAUGUUUCUGUAUUGGAGCUCUUUUCUUUCUAAUAUGUUGUCUUCUAACUGCAAUCUAUGAUUUGUUCUGUCUUAUUCCUCUUGCUUUUUAACAAAUUCUGAAGGUUUUUUCAAUUUUUAAAACAUUUAUUGGCCCGUACAUUACUGUAAUGAUCUUUAACUAAUUUAGAACUAUAUUUUAAAUAAUAUAAGGAAGUGCACAAAAUGUUCUUUUAAGUGAAGAAAACAAAUAAAACAAGUUUUGUGUGUGAAAUGAAGCUUUAAACUGCUCCAGUAUUAAUAUUUACAAGAAACAGUAUCUAAAGGAAAUCGAGCCUAACUUAUUAAUGAUAUUCUAAGUGUAGAGAAAUAGUCUGUGUAAUGAUUGUGUAAUUAAAUCUGUGUUUUUCAAAUGAAGCAUUCAGACUGUAUCUCACUGCUUGAAACAAAAUAAAGUUAACUUCUGAUCACAAA